CGAGGGGUGCCUGCGAGGAAGCUGUGGUGUUGUUGUGGCUGGGUGCAGCCAAGCAGCAGCCGGAGGUUGGGAGUGGGGAGAUGUCCAUAGCACAUAGCAAAAGGGGGAAAAAUAAGGAAAAAAAUGGGAAAGAAGGGAUUUGGGUGUGGGGACAACCCCACGCAACUGGGAGAGAGGGAUUGUAGCAACCAGGUCGCUUGGAGACAGAGCGGGAAUGAACAUCUACCUCGAAGCCACCGAACGGCGCGGAAACCACCGGUGGAGGCUGGGAGCUGGGGGACGGAUGGAAACGAGGAGCACCACCCCUGCCUGUGAUGGAUCCGUGCCCUGGAUCCAGGCAGGGGGAUGCCCCUAAAUUGCACAGGUGAAGCCUCCCCCCACCUUCCAGGACCAACCCUACCUCCCUUCUCCCUGGACUCCCCCAACGCUCAUGCUAGACAGGACCAAAAGGAUUUACCAAUGCAACGACCACCGGUGCGACGAGGCGCUGGGACUGACGCCUCCAGGGCUUGCUGGCGGGCACUUUGUUGUCCCCCUGGGCCAGGCUGGAAGGUGGUGGCUUUAUUUUCAUUCUCUCCUCAUGUUUAUGACCUGACCAGUGUAAAUUUUAUGGUGCUUAACUCUGUAUUUUUUUAACCUCCUUCCUCCCCUCCUGACGGAUGUAAACCGUGCAUUCCCAGGGGAUCUCACCAGCCUGAGGUUUCCUAUGGUGCUUUGGGAUGGGGCUGUGUGAACAUCUGGAUGCUCCACCUGAAACUUUUCAGGGGUAAAAGGGAUAACAAUGGACCUGAGGUUUGAGCUGGCAUUCCAAAAAAACAACAAACAGCUGUGCUGUAAUUCCACAGGGUCAGGCACAGCCCCCCCAGUCACUGAGACUUUGCUUUGCUCUGGAAAUGGUGCUCAAUGCUCAAUGGGAUCAGUAUGUCAUGCCCAGACAUCCAUCCCAUUGCCUCCAGCUUUUAACCAGGUUGGGGUAUUUUUUCCUCUUUAACCAGGUUGGAGUAUUUUUCCUCUUUAACCAGGUUGGGGUAUUUUCCUGUAAAGCCUCCCUGAGACAUCCUGAGCUCUAUCAGAGCUGGGGUGACUUCCCUGGCACCCCUUCAGAGCUGAGGGAGAGGGAGAUUCAUUUGGGCCUUUGGCUUUCCUGAGGAAAAAGGGGCUCAGCAGGGUUCAGGCAUGCAGGAAAAGAGGGACUGUCAAAGCUCUUGCUGCUGCAAAGCACCUACAACCAGUUUCCCCCUCCAGUUAUUCUGGGGAUGUUCUGUACCUCUCAUGGUUUUGUAGCAUUGUGCCUGUUGUGGUCAGAGGCUGUUUUACCUCUCCCAAACCCCUUUUAUCAUUUAGGACUCUUUCUCAGAUCAAAUCAUCAGGCACCAUUGAAUUUUUUGCUUUGUCACUGAUGGAGGUGCCUCUUAAUCAACGAGCUGUGACUGUGAGCAGGCCAAAGCUUGUGGGUCAAGCUGUGCAGUUAGUGGGACCAGCAGAAAGGUAUUUUAGGGAUGAGAGACAGAUUUUGGAUGGGCAGAAGGUGCCAUCUCAGCAAGUGGAGGCUUGGAGCCCGCUGUGCUUGUUCAGUCCCUUGGAGGUACAACAUGGAAACUGCUGCCCCUUGGGUGGCUCCAGAAGGUCUCUGCGGGCAAGGGAUCCUCCUAGAGGAUGGAUCCGAUGCCUCUUCCAACACCCCCACGUCCUCAGAGCCGGGAGCAGAUGUUGUGGUUGCUCGGCACGGCAGGGAACGGGAGUUAAACGUUCUUAGGAAAUCUCCAUUCCCGUGAGCGCACCACCCGUUUGUCCGAGGGUUUUCCUGCGAACCUGAGCCCGCUGCGCUUUCCUGUGGGGCCAGAGCUCUGUGUCAGGCAGAGCUCUGCCCGGUGUGUCCUGCCGCCCCACGGCUGGCGAGGGGAGGGGCUGCUGGUGAGCGGUUCUUUUGCUGAGGGUGCAGCAGAAGGACGGAGAUGCCGAAGGGUACUGGCUGCUUUGUGUAUACCAUGUAUACUGACCAUCGAUCUCUGCUGUUUGUGCGUCAAUAGCAAACCUGAAUAAAUCUGUAUUUAAAGUUA